AUACGAGGGGUGCAAGCGUUAUUCGGAAUCAUUGGGCGUAAAGGGUGCGUAGACGGCUUAUCAAGUCAACUGUUAAAUUCUCCGGCCUAACUGGAGGUCAGCAGUAGAAACUGAUAGGCUUGAGGUUGGAAGAGAGAAGUGGAAUUCUCGGAGUAGCGGUAAAAUGCGUAGAUCUCGAGAGGAACACCGAUGGCGAAGGCAGCUUCUUGGUCCAUACCUGACGUUGAGGCACGAAAGCGUGGGGAGCAAACAGGAUUAGAAACCCCAGUAGUCC
rnacentral:rRNA from 1 species